UGCUGGGAUUACAGGUGUGAGCCACUGCACCUGUCUUCUGUGUCAAAUUCUUUUCCUUGAGGUCUUUAAAAAUAUUACUCCAGUGUCUUCUGGCACCCAGUGUGGCUGCUGGAAACUCUGAAACCAAACUUACUCUUUCGUCGGUGAUCUGCUCUUCAUAGAAACUUUUGGAAUUUUCUUUGAUAUUCUUGAGUUUCACUAUCAAUUACGGAUUUUAUGGAGGAAUCCUGAGAGACGUCCCAGGCUGCCUACCAUGACAUUGACCAUGCUCACCAGCAUUGAGGCUCUGCACCAUCUCCCCGUCCUGUCUGAAGCCCCUUCCACCCGGUACCGUCACCCCCUUACACUCGGGGGUGCUGGUCCGUCUACGCCUGCUGAGAGCUGCUGCCAUGAAAAGAGCCCUGGAUCUCACCCCCUCCGGCAGCUACCUCUUCUCCGCUUUCUAGAGAAACCACCUAGGAGGACUUUGUACACAUACUGGCCCCACCUCCUCUUUCCUGUUGUCUCUAAGGCCCAAGGCCCACCACAGUGCCCUCUGCGCCCCACAGUCACCCCUGCCAGGGCGCCGGCGGCCACAUCCCUCCAGUGCCCUGCAGCAGCACUCGCUCCACCAACCCCUCCUCCAGACGGGCUUUUUUGGGAGGGAUCCUGGAGCCCGAUCCUUGUCCCCCCUCCCAUCAUCCUAACCUCCUCCUGUCUUUCUUCUCCAGCUAUUUUUUUCUGAGAGGAUCUUCCCAGGCAAAGUCACCUGUAAAUCACAUCCAUACCCCAGAAGCUCCCAAAAUCUCAUCUUCAGCCCAGACCUGAAUACUGGGUCAGCUGACAUCUUACCUGGGCAUCACACACUUUCUGCAGCCUCGGCAUCCACACCAGGACUUUGCUUUCCCGGACAAGGUGCUCUUCCUCCUGUUACCUCCAUCUCGGUACCAGGGGCUGCUCUCCUUCCAGUUGUUGAAGUCAAACCUCUUGGGAUUUUUCUUGUUUCCUCUUUCUCUUCAAACCCCCGUCCAGUCCCAGGGCCAAUCCUGUUGACCUACCCUGUUCAUAAUAAAGCCCUGUGCCCUGCGCUCCUCC